AAUAAGUUUAGAUGGACUAAUCUAAAACUGUAAUUUUGAAACAAUAUUAAACAGAAGCUUACUGGUAAUAGAGAGAACAAGUGGAGAAGGAAAUGAAGGUGGAAAAAGCAGCCAUACAGGGUGAGAUAGGCACGGAGUGAAACGUUUGGGUAAACUUGGAGAUUCAGAGGGAAAGUGGACUCAAUUCCGUGGGAAGGAAUACCUGAGUGACACUGCUAGUUAGAUGCCUUAAAAACGUCCUUAGUGCUGGGGAAGCAGGAAUGCUGUUGCUAGGUGAGCAUCUCUGAAGGCAGAGAAGGCCAGACCUUAAAUGUUACAAGCCACACCACACCAAAUAAGUCAUAUGCUGAUUAGGUCAUGGACAAACAGUUUUUUGGCUGUGACUUUGGCUCUGCUAAGAGGUUGGAUACUCUUCUGGUCCUGGUCUGUAGUAGCUAUUGAUGGAAGAAGACUGGCUGUUCCUGGGAACCUGCUCCAUCAGUCCCUCAAAGCAUUCUCCAGCAAGAAUCAAAUGCUAUGGAAAGAACCAGUAUACCUCUUCCUUGCAUCUUUUACAUGA
rnacentral:lncRNA from 1 species